rnacentral:misc_RNA from 1 species
GAAAUGCGAUACGUAAUGCGAAUUGCAGAAUUCAGUGAAUCAUCAAAUCUUUGAACGCAAAUUGCGCUCUCGGGUAUGCCUGGGAGCACGCCUCUUUGAGUAUCGGUUCUACCUCACCUCGACAGCGUGCUUUAAAAACACACGUGUAGUCGGAAAAUGAGCUUGUCUCAGUAUACCUGUUAUUCUGAGUCGCUUUAAACACAGGGAAGAACCUGGGCCUUCCCACAUCAAAUUGGGGGAUGACGCAAGAUAAUUCACUCUUCGUGAGUGUUUACAACCUUCGUCUCCUCUGAGGGAAUGAUCCGGUUUUGAUCCAGGAAUUUUUUCUUCUUCGGAAGAGAAAACACCUUUCAGAAUAAGAUCUCAGAUGAAGCGAGAAUACCCGCCGAAUUUAA